UACGUAGGGUGCAAGCGUUAAUCGGAAUUACUGGGCGUAAAGCGUGCGUAGGCGGCUUUGCAAGACAGAUGUGAAAUCCCCGGGCUUAACCUGGGAACUGCAUUUGAGACUGCAUGGCUGGAGUGCGGCAGAGGGGGAUGGAAUUCCGCGUGUAGCAGUGAAAUGCGUAGAUAUGCGGAGGAACACCGAUGGCGAAGGCAAUCCCCUGGGCCUGGACUGACGCUCAUGCACGAAAGCGUGGGGAGCAAACAGG
rnacentral:rRNA from 1 species